GCGCCCCGGCCCGAGCCCCGCACCGCGGCGCGUCUGCCCUUGUGCGGUGGCGGCUGCAGCGGCGCUGGCUGGCUGGCCGCCCGGCUGACUCCUCACUGGGGCUUCCUGUAGGGCUGGACAAAGGACAUUUCCUGGGAGGAGCGGAGAGCGUUCCCAGCAUGCCUCGAUUUGUAGUUCCCGGGGACUUCCUGCCACUGCAGCGGCGGGCGGCCCAGAGGUGGCUCGGCCAGGCUGGGACCCCGGGACUGGGGGAAACGCGCUGGCGGCUUCCCUAAGCGCCCUGGGGACGCGAGCGGCCGGCGGGUCCUGCCCCCGCCGCGCCCGCCCUGCGGCGCUCUCGAAGCCCGCCACUCUGGAGGACGCAAGACCCCCGCUCCGCACUCCGCGCUCGCGGCACGGCCAUUGACAUCCUGCUUGGGCGGAUUAAAGAACUUGACUGCCCACCAGGAAUUCAGGUUCCUUAAGAUCUUGGCGCUUCGUCCUUAAAACCAUACAGAGCUGAUUGUUUCCAGAUCCCGACCCGGUGACAUUCGUCCCUCCAUUGUUGGCCUGGUCCCAAGCAUGUUUUCAAGAAAAGCAAUUAAAUUGAGAUUGAAAAUAAAUUCCGUAAAUUAAAUAUUAGACGUGAAAA